UACGGAGGGUGCAAGCGUUAAUCGGAAUUACUGGGCGUAAAGGGUGCGUAGGUGGUUGAUUAAGUUAUCUGUGAAAUUCCUGGGCUCAACCUGGGCGUGUCAGAUAAGACUGGUUGACUUGAGUAUGGGAGAGGGUAGUGGAAUUUCCGGUGUAGCGGUGAAAUGCGUAGAGAUCGGAAGGAACACCAGUGGCGAAGGCGGCUACCUGGCCUAAUACUGACACUGAGGCACGAAAGCGUGGGGAGCAAACAGG
rnacentral:rRNA from 1 species